rnacentral:rRNA from 1 species
GACGAACGCUGGCGGCGUGCUUAACACAUGCAAGUCGAACGGUGAAAGCGGAGCUUGCUCCGCUGGAUCAGUGGCGAACGGGUGAGUAACACGUGGGCAACCUGCCCCUGACUUCGGGAUAACUCCUCGAAAGAGGUGCUAAUACCGGAUACGAAUCCUGCUGGCAUCUGCGGGAUUGGAAAGUUUUUCGGUCAGGGAUGGGCCCGCGGCCUAUCAGCUUGUUGGUGCGGUAGUGGCUCACCACGGCGAAGACGGGUAGCCGGCCUGAGAGGGCGACCGGCCACACUGGGACUGAGACGCGGCCCAGCCUCCUACGGGAGGCAGCAGUGGGGAAUAUUGCGCAAUGGGCGAAAGCCUGACGCAGCAACGCCGCGUGAGGGAUGACGGCCUUCGGGUUGUAAACCUCUUUCAGCAGGGAAGAAGCGAAAGUGACGGUACCUGCAGAAGAAGCACCGGCUAACUACGUGCCAGCAGCCGCCGUAA